rnacentral:rRNA from 1 species
AGUGAACGCUGGCGGUAGGCCUAACACAUGCAAGUCGAACGGCAGCACAGUAAGAGCUUGCUCUUACGGGUGGCGAGUGGCGGACGGGUGAGGAAUACAUCGGAAUCUACUUUUUCGUGGGGGAUAACGUAGGGAAACUUACGCUAAUACCGCAUACGACCUACGGGUGAAAGCAGGGGAUCUUCGGACCUUGCGCGAUUGAAUGAGCCGAUGUCGGAUUAGCUAGUUGGCGGGGUAAAGGCCCACCAAGGCGACGAUCCGUAGCUGGUCUGAGAGGAUGAUCAGCCACACUGGAACUGAGACACGGUCCAGACUCCUACGGGAGGCAGCAGUGGGCAAUAUUGGACAAUGGGCGCAAGCCUGAUCCAGCCAUACCGCGUGGGUGAAGAAGGCCUUCGGGUUGUAAAGCCCCUUUGUUGGGAAAGAAAAGCAGCAGGUUAAUACCCCGCUGUUCUGACGGUACCCAAAGAAUAAGCACCGGCUAACUUCGUG